rnacentral:lncRNA from 1 species
CCAGACCUUUGCUCAGACACCACGGUGCUCUGUCGUCUUCUUAAAGUCCUCUGAAGAGGACUCUACCUAAGUUGCCAAACAGAAUUUUAUCAGAUGACAGAAAUUUAUCAGAUGGCUUCCAGAAGCUUCCUUGUACCUGUUGCAUGCUUUUCCACAUCUUCCUCAAAUGGGCUAAGUAUAACUUAGUCACAUUAGCUCACUGUAAGUGAGCCAGCUCCUACAACCCUCCCCUUCUCUGUGGCUGCUGGAGUAGGAUGCACGGCCACCAUGAAGACCCCAGGUUACUCAGUGAGCUGAGCAUGAGACAUGAGGGCAGUCUGACCUCAGCUUUGGCACAGUUAAGCAGGAUGGGUGUAGCCCAGCAGGGUGGCCGCCUGGUGUUACCUCCUUCCUUUGCCACUCCAUGUGCAUCCAUUUUAAACCCGGACGCUUGGUCAAAGAAGCCAUUUACUAAGCCAGGUUCUCAGGACAGGCAAUUCUGCCAGAUUGCUCCAGAAUUCAGGCCCACAGGGUAGGUUGGAUGGGGAUGGCGCUAAGUAAGGGUUUGUGUGGCUGCUGUUUCCCUUUUGUUGGUAAGGACUUAAAUUAAGUAUCACUGUGACCUGCAGGCUAACUAUGACAUGAAUCCCUCCCAGUGGAUGGUGUUGCCAGAGUCCUGAUGGUCUUGGAUGAGCAGUUUGCCCAGGGAAGAGCAGGGAGAGACAAGAUCUUGUUAUGGUACCCAGAUUGGUCCUUGAUAUGGUUUGGCUGUGUCCCCACCAAAUUUCAGCUUGAAUUGUAUCUCCCAGAAUUCCCACAUGUUGUGGGAGGGACCCAGGUGGAGGUAAUUGAAUCCUGGGGGCCAGUCUUUCCUGUGCUAUUCUUGUGAUAGUGAGUAAGUCUCAUGAGAUCUGAUGGGUUUAUCUAGGGUUUCCACUUUUGCUUCUUCCUCAUUUUCCCUUGCUGCCACCAUGUAAGAAGUGCCUUUACCUCCCACCAUGAUUCUGAGGACUCCCCAGCCAUGUGGAACUGUAAGUCCAGUUAAACCUCUUUUUCUUCCCAGUCUCGGGUGUAUCUUUAUCAGCAGACUGAAAAUGGACUAAUACAGUAAAUUGGUACCAGUAGAGUGGGGUGUUGCUGAAAAGAUACCCGAAAGUGUGGAGGUGACUUUGGAACUGGGUAACAAGCAGCAAUUGGAACAGUUUGAAGGGCUCAGAAGACGACAGGAAAAUGUGGGAAAGUUUGCAGCUUCCUAGAGACUUGUUGAAUAGCUUUGCCCAAAAUGCUGAUAGUGAUAUGGACAAUAAAAUCCAGGCUGAGGUGGUCUCAGAUAGAGAUGAGGAACCUGUUGGGAACUGGAGCAAAGGUGACUCUUGUUAUGUUUUAGCAAAGAGAGUGGCAGCAUUUUGCCAUGCCCUAGAGAUUUGUGGAACUUUGAACUUGAGAGAGAUGAUUUAGGGUAUUUGGCAGAAGAAAUUUCUAAGCAGGAAAGUAUUCAAAAGGUGAUUUGGGUGCUGUGAAAGACACUCAGUUUUAAAAGGGAAACAGAGCAUCAAAGUUCAGAAAAUUUGCAGCCUGAUUGCAAUAGAAAAUAAAAACCAACUUUCUGGGGAGAAUUUCAAGUCAGCUGCAGAAAUUUGCAUAAAUAGCAAGGAGCCUAAUGUUAAUUCCCAAGACCAUGAGGAAAAUGUCUUCAAACCAUAUCAGAAACCUUCGUGGCGGCCGCUUCCCAUCACAGGCCUGGAGACCCAGGAGGAAAAAGUGGUUUUGUGGGCUGGGCCCAGGGUCCCCAUGCUGUAUGCAGCCUAGGGACUUGGGGCCUUGUGUCCUAGCUGCUCCAGCCAUGGCUGGAAGGGGCCAAUGUACAGCUCAGGCUGUGGCUUCAGAGGGUGGAAGCCCCAAGCCUUGGCAGCUUCCAUGUGGUGUUGAGCCUGCGGUGCACAGAAGUCAAGAAUUGAGGUUUGGGAACCUCCACCUAAAUUUCAGAAGAUGUAUGGAAACACCUAGAUGCCCAGGCAGAAGUUUGCUGCAGGUGCGGGGCUCUCAUGAAGAACCUCUGCUAAGGCAGUGUGGAAGGGAAAUGUGGGGUUGGAGCCCCCAAACAGAGUCCUUAGUGGGGUGCUGCCUAGUGGAGCUGUGAGAAGAGGGCCAUCAUCCUCCAGACCCCAGAAUGGUAGAUCCACUGACAGCUUGAACUGUGCACCUGGAAGAGCCGCAGCCACUCAAUGCCAGCCCGUGAAAGCAGCCAGAAGGGAGGCUGUACCCUGCAAAACCACAGGGGCAGAGCUGCCCAAGACUGUGGGAACCCACCUCAUGCUUCAGCAUAACCUGGAUGUGAGACCUGGAGUCAAAGGAGAUCAUUUUGGAGCUUUAAAGUUUGACUGCCAUGCAGGAUUUCGGACUUGCAUGGGCCCUGUAACCCCUUUGUUUUGGCCAAUUUCUCCCAUUUGGAACGGCUGUAAUUACCCAAUACCUGUAUCCCCAUUGUUUCUAGGAAGUAACUAGCUUGCUUUUG